CCUACGGGUGGCUGCAGUGGGGAAUAUUGGACAAUGGGCGCAAGCCUGAUCCAGCCAUGCCGCGUGAGUGAUGAAGGCCUUAGGGUUGUAAAGCUCUUUCAGUAGGGAAGCGGUACCUACAGAAGAAGCCCCGGCUAACUUCGUGCCAGCAGCCGCGGUAAUACGAAGGGGGCUAGCGUUGUUCGGAUUUACUGGGCGUAAAGCGCACGUAGGCGGAUUGGUCAGUUAGGGGUGAAAUCCCAGAGCUCAACUCUGGAACUGCCCUUAAUACUGCCAGUCUAGAGUCCGGAAGAGGUGAGUGGAACUCCUAGUGUAGAGGUGGAAUUCGUAGAUAUUAGGAAGAACACCAGUGGCGAAGGCGGCUCACUGGUCCGGACUGACGCUGAGGUGCGAAGCGUGGGGAGCAACAGGAUUAGAUACCCUUGUAGUC
rnacentral:rRNA from 1 species